rnacentral:rRNA from 1 species
CCUACGGGAGGCUGCAGUGAGGACUAUUGGUCAAUGGGCGGGAGCCUGAACCAGCCACGUCGCGUGAGGGAAGACGGUCCUCUGGCUUGUAAACCUCUUUAGGCGGGGAGCACUGCCGGGCACGCGUGCCCGGAGGGAGAGUCCCCGCAGACUCAGCAUCGGCUAACUCCGUGCCAGCAGCCGCGGUAAUACGGAGGAUGCGGGCGUUAUCCGGAUUUAUGGGGUUUAAAGGGUGCGUAGGCGGAUUUUUAAGUCAGCGGUAAAAUGUCCGGGCUCAACCCGGGCCGGCCGUUGAAACUGGGGAUCUUGAGUGGGCGAGAAGUAUGCGGAAUGCGUGGUGUAGCGGUGAAAUGCAUAGAUAUCACGCAGAACUCCGAUUGCGAAGGCAGCAUACCGGCGCCCGACUGACGCUGAGGCACGAAAGCGUGGGGAUCGAACAGGAUUAGAUACCCGGGUAGUC